CGUAACAAGGUCUCCGUAGGUGAACCUGCGGAGGGAUCAUUGCACAAAUAUGAAGGCGGGCUGGAACCUCUCGGGGUUACAGCCUUGCUGAAUUAUUCACCCUUGUCUUUUGCGUACUUCUUGUUUCCUUGGUGGGUUCGCCCACCACUAGGACAAACAUAAACCUUUUGUAAUUGCAAUCAGCGUCAGUAACAAAUUAAUAAUUACAACUUUCAACAACGGAUCUCUUGGUUCUGGCAUCGAUGAAGAACGCAGCGAAAUGCGAUAAGUAGUGUGAAUUGCAGAAUUCAGUGAAUCAUCGAAUCUUUGAACGCACAUUGCGCCCUUUGGUAUUCCAAAGGGCAUGCCUGUUCGAGCGUCAUUUGUACCCUCAAGCUUUGCUUGGUGUUGGGCGUCUUGUCUCUAGCUUUGCUGGAGACUCGCCUUAAAGUAAUUGGCAGCCGGCCUACUGGUUUCGGAGCGCAGCACAAGUCGCACUCUCUAUCAGCAAAGGUCUAGCAUCCAUUAAGCCUUUUUUUCAACUUUUGACCUCGGAUCAGGUAGGGAUACCCGCUGAACUUAAGCAUAUCA
rnacentral:rRNA from 1 species